CUGCCCAAUGGCAUUAAAGUAUGACUAGGCACACGUCCUUGUCUCAUCAUGAGACCAACGCCUUGAUGUGACGAAAAAGCUCCAUCUUUUAGGUGUCGGCAAGGACACACCCUACACCCUUAUUGUUCUGUGGGUCGUGACCCUCGUGUUGCUUAGUGCCAGGACAUACCCUAUUGGUCGUGCGGGCCUUGGUGCUCACGUGUCUUGUGAAAGGCCAAGGCCCACCCGGCCAGAAGGGUGUGGCUUGGAGCUAGGCCGCGUGAGGGCCAAGGCCCACACGACCAAAAACGUCUGUCCUGGCCCAUGCCUCAAAGUUGCAGCUUCGUCGCAUCGGGGCACGUGAGGAGGCAGGGCGUGUGCCUAGUCGUACUUUGAUGGCAUAAAAAAAU